GUACAUCCAGAGAAUUUAGCAGAGAUGCUUUAGUGCCUUCGGGAACUCUGAGACAGGUGCUGCAUGGCUGUCGUCAGCUCGUGUUGUGAAAUGUUGGGUUAAGUCCCGNAACGAGCGCAACCCUUAUCCUUUGUGCCAGCACGUAAUGGUGGGAACUCAAAGGAGACUGCCGGUGAUAAACCGGAGGAAGGUGGGGAUGACGUCAAGUCAUCAUGGCCCUUACGAGUAGGGCUACACACGUGCUACAAUGGCGCAUACAAAGAGAAGCGACCUCGCGAGAGCAAGCGGACCUCAUAAAGUGCGUCGUAGUCCGGAUUGGAGUCUGCAACUCGACUCCAUGAAGUCGGAAUCGCUAGUAAUCGUAAAUCAGAAUGUUACGGUGAAUACGUUCCCGGGCCUUGUACACACCGCCCGUCACACCAUGGGAGUGGGUUGCAAAAGAAGUAGAUAGCUUAACCUUCGGGAGGGCGUUUACCACUUUGUGAUUCAUGACUGGGGUGAAGUCGUAACAAGGUAAGCGUAGUGCU
rnacentral:rRNA from 1 species